GUGUUGUAUGAAAGGAGAGAAGGUUAGCCCUCCCCUUGACAAGGAUGGAAGAGGCCCUCGGGCCUGACAAUACAUGGCUAAAGUAUUGCCACCUACUUCGUGGUAUCUAACCAACGUUUUAG